GUCUAAUCGGAAUCCCUUCAACUGCAGAGCGCCUGCCUCCUUCCGUAAUUGUCCAUACGUCUGUCUCACCACUAGACGACUAAUUCCUGUGUGUCUCCAGUGCCUAGGAUCUGGCAUCUGGUAGACAUUCGAUAAAUGAUUACUCAAUGAAUGAAUGAGUGAGUAUUGCAGUAUGGCCAACCUUCACACAAGCAGGAACAGUUACUUCAUGCACGGCUAAAAACUUUUUAAAAAUCUCAUCUAAAAUGCACACUUGUAAUAAAAAUUUCAAAUAAUAUGCAAGCAUAUAAUUGAGAAAUUGGAAAUUUCUACCCACUUCAAUCUCAUUCCCCAUAGUUGGCCACUGUUAACACUUUGGCGUCACUCUUAAUUUUUCUCUCCAUCUUAUAAACAAUACAGGAAGCUACAACUAUCAAGCUGGAGUAAAUUAGUCUUCUUUCCAGCCCAAUGCCUCAAUCACUGCCACCUUCCAUUGCUUGGCAACAUCGGGGAUUGUCAAGAUCAUUGGCCUCAGGCCACAGACUGGAAGAUCAAUGAUGCUGGAGCCUCCAAGGGAACACCAGGGAAGCUGGAGCACCACGAGGCACUCUCGGUUGAAUAGCACGUUGAUGAGCCUGCUCCCACACGCUACAUAAUGGUCCUUUCACUGUGCUGCGUUCUGAGAAGAUCACUUGGCUUUUCUAAGUCUCCAAUAAAUGUGGAUGGCACAGACACAGUCCAGACCUCAAUAGAGAGGAACAGGCAGACCCAGAGAGCUUCCCCAGCAAGUGACCAGAGCCGGCGUGGCCCUGGGAGGACAAGGCAGAGGUCCAGGUUCUGGAGGAGGCUCCCUGCAUUGGCCGCUGCGACUGUACCGAGACAGGAGCUCAGAGGCAUUCUUGCCCCUCCCCUUCUCACAAUAGCUUUUAUAAGAUGCUUUACUGCAAAGGUAAUCAGUCAUAUUUGUUGCAGAAAAAUAUGCAUAAUCUUAAAA
rnacentral:lncRNA from 1 species